rnacentral:tRNA from 1 species
CGGGGACCUGGUCGAGGUUGCCGGAGGCGACGCCGGGCGAGCCGGCGGCCUCGCCGGAGGCCCACGCCCCGCCGUGCGCGGCGGCGGCGCCCGC